CAUUACCCAUAAAAUGGUUAGGCAAAUCAUUUACAAAUUACAGUUUUUCAAUUUAAUGGUGGAAAUUAGAGUUCAUCCGAUUGUAACCGUAGAGAUCCAUUGAUCAGCUAGGAGUGAGUUUUGGUUCGUUUGAAGGAUUUGGACAUUUGGGUAUCCAUCAGCAGCUGAGUGAAUCACCAGUUUUGGGGCCAUCUGAGGUUCCUGAAUAGAAGCUAGAAUUCAAGCAUAGGCUUCCAAUAGCUCUUGGAGCAGCUAAAGGUGAUCCUCUGGAAAAUCAGAGAGCAUUGAUGGCUUCCCUGGUUUAGCCCACCUGCAUACUUUGAGUCCUCCUUUGGUACAUAAGAAUUUCAAAACAUGCAGAUGUUUUACAAUGCGACACCUCAAGCAUUAGUAAGGACACUUGUUAGUGUUUGCCACGUCUUAACUUUAUAA